UAGGGAAUCUUCCGCAAUGGACGCAAGUCUGACGGAGCAACGCCGCGUGAGUGAAGAAGGAUUUCGGUUCGUAAAACUCUGUUGUUAGAGAAGAACAGCGCAUAGAGUAACUGUUAUGCGUGUGACGGUAUCUAACCAGAAAGCCACGGCUAACUACGUGCCAGCAGCCGCGGUAAUACGUAGGUGGCAAGCGUUGUCCGGAUUUAUUGGGCGUAAAGCGAGCGCAGGCGGUUAGAAAAGUCUGAAGUGAAAGGCAGUGGCUCAACCAUUGUAGGCUUUGGAAACUGUUUAACUUGAGUGCAGAAGGGGAGAGUGGAAUUCCAUGUGUAACGGUGAAAUGCGUAGAUAUAUGGGGGAACACCGGUGGCGAAAGCGGCUCUCUGGUCUGUAACUGACGCUGAGGCUCGAAAGCGUGGGGAGCGAACAGG
rnacentral:rRNA from 1 species